ACGGAGGGUGCAAGCGUUAUCCGGAUUCACUGGGUUUAAAGGGUGCGUAGGCGGGUUUGUAAGUCAGUGGUGAAAUCCCCAAGCUUAACUUGGGAACUGCCAUUGAUACUGCAAGUCUUGAAUUUUCUGGAGGUAAGCGGAAUAUGUCAUGUAGCGGUGAAAUGCUUAGAUAUGACAUAGAACACCCAUUGCGAAGGCAGCUUACUACGGGAACAUUGACGCUGAGGCACGAAAGCGUGGGGAUCAAACAGGAUUAGAUACCCUGGUAGUCCACGCCCUAAACGAUGAUUACUCGACAUUAGCGAUAUUACAGUUAGUGUCUAAGCGAAAGCAUUAAGUAAUCCACCUGGGAAGUACGACCGCAAGGUUG
rnacentral:rRNA from 1 species